AGCCUAUUUCCAUUUCCCCACACCAUCUUUCAACUUCCUGAUAGUACGGGUCCAAUCUGUACCAUCUAAGCAAUUCAAGAGGGAAAAAAGUGGAUAUUAUUUACAGAGGUGAAAGCAAGACAAAGGGAUUUUUGGAGCUUUAAUGAUUCUCCUAAGCUCAUAUGAUUAAUAGAAGGGAGUCUGGGGACAUAUAGCAGUUCAUGAAGUGUGGAGAAAUGAGGAUAAUGGAAUACAAAGCUGUUCUUUGAAUGAGGUUCUCUGUAGUAUUUGCAGGGUGAGGCUCUCAAUAAAUCAACUACCAGCUGCUGGCCUCAGGGGUUAAUUACCUUCACACACUGCUGCCAGCUGAAGGGAGUGGUGUUACAAGACCUGGGAGAGUUCAAGGAGAGUCACUAGAGGUCUGGGAAGAGAAAGGGGUGGGGGGAAAUCUCAAAAGAUGCAUAACUCUAAGAUUAAAAUUUUCUGGUUUGUUAAAAAAACUGGAUUUUUGAGGUGUUUUUAAGUUGUUUCCAAUAUUUCCAUGGCCAUACAGGGAAUUGAACUAUGGCCUUCUGAGUCCUAAUCGAACACUCAAACCAGUACACCAUGCUGGGUCUCAUAAAAUUCUGCUUGUACAUGUAAAAAUAAAAGAAGGUGUACUUCAAUAGUUUGGAUUGCAUGACCUCCUCGUGAAGAGCUGUCCAUAUUUUGCAUCCCAAACCGAGUGAGCUGAUCAAAGAACUCUUUUCAGACACAAUAAAUAUGGUUAAAUAACCGUGCCCUCACAUAUCCAUGUAACCCCACCUUUGGAAUAGCAAGAGGAUGGAGUCUAAUGUGAAAAGAUUGAAAUACAACAAAACAGACUGAACUUACACUGGGUAGUCCUUCAAAGAAAGGACAUUUUCAACAAAGGACUAUCUGAUGGUAGCACUUUAAACAAAGGACUGCCUCCGUAAAGCCAGUUCCACCGCCAGUAAUAAAAAGACCUGGGACCUUUAGAAAGCAUGGUUCUUUCAACACAGAAGUGAAAGGAAGCCUGGUGUAAAAUAUACUAUCUCAGAAAAAUGAGCUUGCCUUCCAAGAAAAUUAUAUAUCAAUUAAAGAUAAACAAAAAACAAGAAAAAGAAAUAACAGUAACACAGCAAGAAGAAACAAAGAAUAAAAGAAACAAAGAAUCAGAAAAGCAGAAUGCAAGAGAAAAGGGAGCAGAGAAAUAGAAAAGAAGACAGACUUGGACCGAAAGACAAAAAGCCGCAUCAAUGAGGACUGGAAGUCACAUUACUCUUCUUAUUUUUAUUUUCUUUUUUCUUUCUAUCUCUUUUUUCUUCUCUCUUCUUUCUUCCUUUUUGUUGUUUUAAAUGAAUUCUUGUAUUUUAAAAAAGAAAAUCACAAUAAAGAUUAUAUAUAAAAGGUUAA